rnacentral:rRNA from 1 species
UCGGGGGGGUAACCCGCAAGGGAGCCAGCCGCCGAAGGUGGGGUAGAUGAUUGGGGUGAAGUCGUAACAAGGUAGCCGUAUCGGAAGGUGCGGCUGGAUCACCUCCUUUCUAUGGAGA